AGCAGCCGCGGUAAUUCCAGCUCCAAUAGCGUAUAUUAAAGUUGUUGCAGUUAAAAAGCUCGUAGUUGAAUUUCGGGGUUUAUCCGUUGGUCGGGCUUUCGUGCCUGUACUGGCGUGAUGGAUUCCUACCUUCUGAAUAACCAGCAUGUCAUUAAUUUGGUGCGCUGGGGAAGCAGGACUGUUACCUUGAAAAAAUUAGAGUGCUUAAAGCAGGCUAUUGCCUGAAUACAUUAGCAUGGAAUAAUGAAAUAGGACGCAUGGUUCUAUUUUGUUGGUUUCUAGGAUCACCGUAAUGAUUAAUAGGGAUAGUUGGGGGCAUUAGUAUUCAAUUGUCAGAGGUGAAAUUCUUGGAUUUAUUGAAGACUAACUUCUGCGAAAGCAUUUGCCAAGGAUGUUUUCAUUAAUCAAGAACGAAAGUUAGGGGGUCGAAGACGAUCAGAUACCGUCGUAGUCUUAACCAUAAACUAUGCCGACUAGGGAUCGGACGAUGUUAAUUUUUAAUGACUCGUUCGGCGCCUUA
rnacentral:rRNA from 1 species